rnacentral:rRNA from 1 species
UCCCCGAAAUCUAUUUAGGUAGAGCCUCGGACGAAUACUUACGGGGGUAGAGCACUGUUAAGGCUAGGGGGGUCAUCCCGACUUACCAACCCUUUGCAAACUCCGAAUACCGUAAAGUAAUAUCCGGGAGACACACGGCGGGUGCUAACGUCCGUCGUGAAGAGGGAAACAACCCAGACCGCCAGCUAAGGUCCCAAAGUCAUAGUUAAGUGGGAAACGAUGUGGAAAGGCCCAGACAGCCAGGAGGUUGGCUUAGAAGCAGCCAUCCUUUAAAGAAAGCGUAAUAGCUCACUGGUCGAGUCGGUCUGCGCGGAAGAUGUAACGGGGCUAAACUAUGCACCGAAGCUGCGGAUUCAUCUUAGGAUGAGUGGUAGGGGAGCGUUCUGUAAGCGGUUGAAGGUGUACCGGGAGGUAUGCUGGACGUAUCAGAAGUGCGAAUGCUGACAUGAGUAACGAUAAUGCGGGUGAAAAACCCGCACGCCGGAAGACCAAGGGUUCCUAUCCCAUGUUAAUCAGGGUAGGGUAAGUCGACCCCUAAGGCGAGGCCGAAAGGCGUAGUCGAUGGGAAACGGAUUAAUAUUUCCGUACUUGGUAUAAUUGCGAUGGGGGGACGGAGAAGGCUAAGCAAGCAUGGCGAUGGUUGUCCAUGUGAAAGUGAGUAGGCUAGUGACUUAGGUAAAUCCGGGUUGCUGUUAGGCUGAGACACGAGACGAGCACCCAAGGGUGUGAAGUUGCUGAUGCCAUACUUCCAGGAAAAGCCUCUAAGCUUCAGAUUAUACCGAAUCGUACCCCAAACCGACACAGGUGGUCAGGUAGAGAAUACUAAGGCGCUUGAGAGAACUCGGGUGAAGGAACUAGGCAAAAUCGUACCGUAACUUCGGGAGAAGGUACGCUCCUAUCUGUGAUGAGACUUGCUCUCUAAGCGGACGGGAGCCGCAGUGACCAGGUGGCUGGGACUGUUUAUUAAAAACACAGCACUGUGCAAAAUCGCAAGAUGACGUAUACGGUGUGACACCUGCCCGGUGCCGGAAGGUUAAUUGAUGGGGUUAGUUUUCGGACGAAGCUCUUGAUCGAAGCCCCGGUAAACGGCGGCCGUAACUAUAACGGUCCUAAGGUAGCGAAAUUCCUUGUCGGGUAAGUUCCGACCUGCACGAAUGGUGUAACCAUGGCCACGCUGUCUCCACCCGAGACUCAGUGAAAUUGAAAUCGCAGUGAAGAUGCUGUGUACCCGCGGCUAGACGGAAAGACCCCGUGAACCUUUACUACAGCUUGGCACUGAACAUUGAACCUACAUGUGUAGGAUAGGUGGGAGACUUUGAAGCAGCGACGCUAGUUGUUGUGGAGUCGUCCUUGAAAUACCACCCUUGUAGUUUUGAUGUUCUAACGUUGGCCCCUGAAUCGGGGUUACGGACAGUGCCUGGUGGGUAGUUUGACUGGGGCGGUCUCCUCCCAAAGAGUAACGGAGGAGCACGAAGGUUGGCUAAGUACGGUCGGACAUCGUACGGUUAGUGUAAUGGUAGAAGCCAGCUUAACUGCGAGACAGACACGUCGAGCAGGUACGAAAGUAGGUCAUAGUGAUCCGGUGGUUCUGAAUGGAAGGGCCAUCGCUCAACGGAUAAAAGGUACUCCGGGGAUAACAGGCUGAUACCGCCCAAGAGUUCAUAUCGACGGCGGUGUUUGGCACCUCGAUGUCGGCUCAUCACAUCCUGGGGCUGAAGUCGGUCCCAAGGGUAUGGCUGUUCGCCAUUUAAAGUGGUACGCGAGCUGGGUUUAGAACGUCGUGAGACAGUUCGGUCCCUAUCUGCCGUGGGCGUUUGAGAAUUGAGAGGGGUUGCUCCUAGUACGAGAGGACCGGAGUGAACGAACCGCUGGUGUUCGGGUUGUCAUGCCAAUGGCAUUGCCCGGUAGCUACGUUCGGAACUGAUAAGCGCUGAAAGCAUCUAAGCGCGAAGCAGGCCUCGAGAUGAUUUCUCACUAGACUUUUAAAGUCUCUGAAGGGCCGUUGAAGACUACAACGUUGAUAGGCAAGAUGUGGAAGUGGUGUGAGCCAUUAAGCUAACUUGUACUAAUUACCCGUGAGGCUUAACCAU